rnacentral:rRNA from 1 species
UACGAAGGGGGCUAGCGUUGUUCGGAAUCACUGGGCGUAAAGCGCACGUAGGCGGAUCUUUUAAGUCAGGGGUGAAAUCCCGAGGCUCAACCUCGGAACUGCCUUUUGAUACUGGGGAUCUCGAGUCCGGGAGAGGUGAGUGGAACUGCGAGUGUAGAGGUGAAAUUGUAGAUAUUCGCAAGAACACCAGUGGCGAAGGCGGCUCACUGGCCCGAGUACCUGACGCUG